UCCCAGGUGGUUUAGACGUUAAAGAAUCUGCCUGCAAUGCAGGAUACCCAGGUUUGAUCCCUGGCUCAGGAA
rfam:TPA: Bos taurus chromosome 16, whole genome shotgun sequence.